rnacentral:tRNA from 1 species
AGGCGCGUAGCUCAGUGGUAGAGCACUACUUGUACAACGUAGAGGUCGGCUGUUCGAUUCAGUCCCGCGCCUACCA